GAACAAACGCUGGCGGCGUGUCUUAAGCAUGCAAGUUGAGCGGCAAGGAGGAGAGAUCCUCCCUAGAGCAGCGGACUGGUGAGUAACGCGUGGGUAAUCUAUCUUAGGCAUGGGGAUAGUCACUAGAAAUAGUGGGUAAUACCGAAUAAGUUCCAUAAGGGGAGGACUUAUGGAAGAAAGGUGCUACGGCACUGGCCUUAGGUGAGCUCGCGUCCCAUUAGCUAGUUGGUGAGGUAAAGGCCCACCAAGGCGAUGAUGGGUAGCCGGCCUGAGAGGGUGUACGGCCACACUGGGACUGAGAUACGGCCCAGACUCCUACGGGAGGCAGCAGCUAAGAAUAUUCCGCAAUGGACGGAAGUCUGACGGAGCGACGCCGCGUGGAUGAAGAAGGCCGAAAGGUUGUAAAGUUCUUUUGCUAGGGGAGAAUAAGUGUGGGAGGGAAUGCCUGCACGAUGACAAGGACUAGCGAAUAAGUCCCGGCCAACUACGUG
rnacentral:rRNA from 1 species